rnacentral:rRNA from 1 species
UACGUAGGGUGCAAGCGUUGUCCGGAAUUAUUGGGCGUAAAGAGCUCGUAGGCGGUCUGUCGCGUCUGCUGUGAAAUCUCAGGGCUUAACCCUGAGCUUGCAGUGGGUACGGGCAGACUAGAGUGCGGUAGGGGAGACUGGAAUUCCGGGUGUAGCGGUGAAAUGCGUAGAUAUCCGGAGGAACACCGGUGGCGAAGGCGGCUUCCUGGACCGACACUGACGCUGAGGCGCGAAAGCUAGGGGAGCAAACGGG